AACGAACGCUGGCGGCAUGCCUAACACAUGCGAGUCGAACGAGACCUUCGGGUCUAGUGGCGCACGGGUGCGUAACGCGUGGGAACCUGCCCUUAGGUUCGGAAUAACUCCCCGAAAGGGGUGCUAAUACCGGAUAAUGUCUUCGGACCAAAGAUUUAUCGCCUUUGGAUGGGCCCGCGUUGGAUUAGCUAGUUGGUAGGGUAAAAGCCUACUAAGGCGACGAUCCAUAGCUGGUCUGAGAGGAUGAUCAGCCACACUGGGACUGAGACACGGCCCAGACUCCUACGGGAGGCAGCAGUGGGGAAUAUUGGACAAUGGGCGAAAGCCUGAUCCAGCAAUGCCGCGUGAGUGAUGAAGGCCUUAGGGUUGUAAAGCUCUUUUACCCGGGAUGAUAAUGACAGUACCGGGAGAAUAAGCUCCGGCUAACUCCGUG
rnacentral:rRNA from 1 species